rnacentral:ncRNA from 1 species
UACUGGUAUAAUGAGUACUAGUUGCCCAAUAGCUUACGCGGUUCGCGCGGGCAACAGCGUACGCCUACGAGGAAAUUGGCCCGCGCCGCUACCGCUAGCGGUUUGGCAGCAAGCACAAGGUCAUCGACGUGGUAACAUUCUGGUCGACUCAUUCUAUCCUGGAGUUGUAGAAGAUUCCAAGGGUUCGGCUGUUCGCCGAUGAAAAGGGUACGUGAGUUGGGUUUAGUGCGUUGAGAAACAAUACGGAUCCUAUCUUUUUUGGGUGUAUAUAAACUGAGAGAAUCAUUCUCUUGUACGAGAGGACUGAGAAUGGUGAACCUAUAGUGUACCAAUUGUCGCGCCAGUGGCACAGUUGGGUAGCCACGUUCAAAACUAAGAACCGUUGAAGGCCUAUCAAGUGGGAAAUGGAGUCUCAAAACAAGUUUUUUUUUUCGUAGAAGAAGACUACGUUCUAAUAGGCGGGGGGUGCAAGUUUUGUAAGAAAUUGAGUUGACCCGUACUAAAAAACAUUAU